AAAAAGACAAAUCUGGUUUCCGUGUCCAAUAUUUGACCAUCCGUCUUAUUUAAAAAAAUUAUAAAAAAAAUUAAAAAGAUAAGUCACGCAUAAAGUAUUAAUCAUGUUUUAUUAUCUAACAACAAUAAAAAUACUAAUUAUAAAAAAAUUUCAUAUAAGACGGACAGUUAAACAUUAGCAUGGAAAUCUAAGGUUUGUCUUUUU
rfam:Oryza sativa Japonica Group DNA, chromosome 5, cultivar: Nipponbare, complete sequence.